UACGGAGGGUGCGAGCGUUGUCCGGAAUCACUGGGCGUACCGGGCGCGUAGGCGGCCUGAUAAGUCGGGGGUGAAAUCCUGCGGCUUAACCGCAGGGCUGCCUUCUAAACUGUCAGGCUCGAGCACAGUAGAGGCAGGUGGAAUUCCCGGUGUAGCGGUGGAAUGCGUAGAGAUCGGGAAGAACAUCAGUGGCGAAGGCGGCCUGCUGGGCUGUUGCUGACGCUGAGGCGCGACAGCGUGGGGAGCAAACAGG
rnacentral:rRNA from 1 species